rnacentral:lncRNA from 1 species
GAUCAAGAGGACCAGGUCCCAGAGCCCGAUCCGCAAGAAGAUUGUGAGUAGAUGCUAAAUAUUUUCUAUUUUCUGUUUGUUUCCUUAUUUCUCGUGUUUCUUUCAAAGAACGAAUUCUGUAAUAUUGUUUAGUACUUUUAAGUUAUUGUGUAAGAAAUGUAAACCUUAAAUUUUUAUUUUACUUCCGCACUUAAAUUAUUAUCUAUUUCCUUUAUAUAUUUUCGGGGCCGCUACCAACUGUUUGAUUGAAUGAGAGAGAGAUAAGUUUAAGAGAUCAAAUUUCUUUUAAGGGGGGAGAGUUGUAAUACCUGGGCCCAAAAUUUGGUAC